rnacentral:lncRNA from 1 species
UUAUCCCCACAGACAUUACCAGCUACUGGGAUAACAGCACAUGAGAACAGAAUUUCCUUUAAGAUCCUCAGUUACACAGGAAUUCCAAGGUUAAGGCAGAAUACAACAGGAUUUUGUAAGGAGAUUGUUAUUUGGAGGUUUUAGUACUCUAUCUCAUACCAUACUAUGGUAGAUCAAGAGUUUGGUUCUUUCUGGUCCUCCUCAUAACCCAACAGUUCAGGAAAAAAAAAUUACUGGAAAUUACAGAUGUCAGGUCAGGAGUGGAAAGUUAUUCUGACUAGGCCAGAAUGUCAGAUCAGAAAUAAUAUGCUAGAGUUUAUCAGCUGAAAUACGUGAGGCAAGAAAAAACUCCAACCAACAGCCCAGCUUAUCUCACACUUUAUUUUAAAUACACUGUAUUGACCAAAUUCCUUCCUGAACCAUACCAAGGGCAGAAACUAUUGUAUAAAUUCCUGCAGCACUGAAGAAGUCAGUUCAUAUUGACUGGACAUAUCGUUUUUGCAUGCACAUGAGCCCACUGGCCCACUAAGUUUGUAUCCUGUACGUUUCAAAAGCAUGCGGCUGCUGGGGGGCCGCUUUGGGUUUUGUUUGCUCCUACAGUCCCACGCAAGAGGGUCUAUCUGAAUGCAGGUGCUGGAAUGAGAACUCUGCUCCCCCAUUCCUGUUGGUGACACUCGGGCCUCUCUGAGACAAAGCUCCUUCUCAUCAGCAACAGAGAUUUUUUUAAAAAGGUGUGGACAGGGACAAAAACCAGGCCCUUAGGUGGCAGUAAGAUCUGAAACAUUAACUGUACUUAGUGGUUCACCAGCAAUCUUGACUGCAAAAAUCACUGGUAGAGUGGAGGAGAGUCUAGCACAGUUUGCUCCAAAGAGAACUUCAGGAGAGACUUUGUGGAAGGUGUUUUAGUGCCUCUAAAAACACUGCUGCAAGUGCAGCCCUUGCCCACAAUGGCACGAGAGAAGCAAAGACUCCUUUUUCAAGGCUCACUCACUCAAGACACAAAUGUGGCAGGUUGGUAGCUCUGAGUGCAGAGCUGACCAGAGGUGCAUGAGCAGU